UCUUAGGCGUAGUCUACAAUGAAGAUUUAAGCUUUAAGCCAUAAGAAAUUGACCAAACACAGUCGAUUUUUAUAAAAAUAUUCAAUUGUGAUUAGUCAAUUUCUUACGGCUUAAAGCUUAAGUCUUCAUUGUAGACUAUGCCUUAAGGACUGUCUUAAGAUACCAUCAGCCAAUGAGAGUUGUAUUGGCAUCUUAAAACAUUACUUGAGACGAUCUUAAAAUAAGAUUCGACUAUGAAUACCAGCCUAAGCAAUGCUUCUAACAUCGAAUUAUUUUACAGCAGCGUGAUAUAAGUGGAGAGGGUAACGAACAGGGGCUCGAUUCUUGAAUUCAUUUGCAAGAAAAACGUAUUCGCAAAUUCUGUUCUUACAGAAAAGUUGGAAAUUUAUUGGCUAUCAUAUGACUUAACCAAUAAACUUGCAACUUUUCUGUUAGAGAGGGUAUUUGCGCAUACGUUUCUCUUGCGAAUAAAUUUAAGAAUCGAGCCCCUGUUCGUUAUCCUCUAAGUGAGUGCUCAGUAUAUGAUUGGUUCUUGCCCUUAGUUCUUUAUCCCCUCCCCAUACGCCGUAACUAUCGGGGGCAGAAUCUGCGAUCUAAGUGUCGCGUAGUCAUUGUUUUACAAGAUGUCUCGCGAGAUAAGGAGUGCGAAGCGUGGUGAAGAAGUGAUAGUGAAAAUGGCAAGUUCUAGAAAAUCAAGUCAAUAAUUGGGUGCGACGCGCAAUACAGAAGGAGAAAAAAAAGUGCAUACACACCACAUCCUCCAACCCAGCUGCUGCCGCCGCCGCCGCCGCCGCCGCCGCCGCCGCCGCCGC